UGUUGCUUUGCUUUUUCGAUUAUGCUAGUUUGUGCAUAUUGAACUGCUUUGGUGAUUGACAUGCAGCUUUGGUUAAUUGUUGAACUCUCUAUGUUCUCUUUUGUCGGAGGAAAACAGAAUUCACAUAUGCAGAGAUAAAGGUUUGCAUGUCAUUAUCAUGGACCAAUGCUCUGGUAAGAAGACUGGUGACACUAUGGCUGUCUCUAGGAAGGGUUCUAGCCUUAUUUUGAGAGAUACUGCUAACAAAAGUUUUAAAUGAUAAUUGUUGGAAUGAAAGAAGAUGGACGUCUACCUAUAUCAAAAGUUAGGCUUAAUUCAGUUUCUUUUUUUAGCAAAUAUUUUACAUGAUUGCAUACGAUCGGUUAUUUUAGUAUUAUUGAAGACUUAUUCAUUUAUAA